CUAUUGUGUUUCAAAUUUCACUUGAUAUUGCAGCCCAACUUAUAACAAACAGCUUUUGGAUCAACCUAUUCAUUGGGCGCAUGCGCUGUACAAUAGAUAUUCUUUGCAAUGUCGUUUUAAAUAUGAUCCAACGCUGGUGUUCCACAGUGUAUAUAGCUACGAGAAAAACUACUAAAUGAUGUUACAUUUAAAAUUUGGCUGUAGUUGGCAACUACUAAAUAAAAAGGCUGGCUGUAAACAUUAAGAUUUGAUAGUGAAGACACAGGUACAAAUCCAGGAGAAUGUACAGUACCAACUGAAA
rnacentral:sRNA from 2 species